CCUACGGGGGGCUGCAGUGGGGAAUAUUGCACAAUGGGGGAAACCCUGAUGUAGCGACGCCGCGUGAGUGAAGAAGUAUUUCGGUACGUAAAGCUCUAUCAGCAGGGAAGAAAAUGACGGUACCUGACUAAGAAGCACCGGAUAACUUCGUGCCAGCAGCCGCGGUAAUACGUAGGGGGCAAGCGUUAUCCGGAUUUACUGGGUGUAAAGGGAGCGUAGACGGCAGCGCAAGUCUGGAGUGAAAUCCCAUGGGUUAACCAUGGAACUGCUGUGGAAACUGUGCAGCUAGAGUGCAGGAGAGGUAAGCGGAAUGCCUAGUGUAGCGGUGAAAUGCGUAGAUAUUAGGAGGAACACCAGUGGCGAAGGCGGCUUACUGGACUGUAACUGACGUUGAGGCUCGAAAGCGUGGGGAGCAAACAGGAUUAGAUACCCGUGUAGUC
rnacentral:rRNA from 1 species